UUUAUUUUCGUAAAUCAAUAGAAUACAUAUGUUCAUUUUAUGAACGUGAGAUUAUUGAGUUCAUGUUUAUGAUGCAUGAACGUGCAAGUAAAAUGCAUAUCUAAAUUGAUAAUCGUAAUAAAUAGUUUGUACAAUUAUAUUAUUAUUAGGUUCCAGCCUGCACCAGAGUAUACAAUGAUGCGGUGUUAAGAGUGGUCAUAUAGAUUGAACGCCAUCAUACAUCAUACAACAAACAACAGAUCUACGUAUAAUAGUGAAACUGUCGUGCACGAUACCAUAACUAGCCAUAACGAACUAACAUAUAGAGAAGUUAUCUGGAUAUACAAACAGCUGAAGAUGUUGGAAUAAUUUUGGACUUUAAAUGUUCAUAAUAAUUUGAUGUAUUUUUUCUUCUUAAUCGUUUUUUUGUUUUGUGUUUGUUUAUAAAAUUAGUUAUUUAUUCUUAUCGUUGAUUCUUUAGUCAAGAGUGUAAAAUAGCACUGAAAGACUUAUACAUCCGUCCGUCCGUGACAACCUACUAGUUAUGUAUUGCAUUGUUAACACUUAAACAUGUCAUGUAUACAAUUAUGUUUUAUUACUAAGUUUAAAUCUCUUUUCAUUAUACCUAGUAGGUAUAUGAAGCAUGACUUGGUGAUUUUGAGGUGACAAAACGAAG
rnacentral:lncRNA from 1 species